rnacentral:rRNA from 1 species
AUUGAACGCUGGCGGCAUGCCUUACACAUGCAAGUCGAACGGCAGCACGGGAGCAAUCCUGGUGGCGAGUGGCGAACGGGUGAGUAAUAUAUCGGAACGUGCCCAGUCGUGGGGGAUAACGCAGCGAAAGCUGUGCUAAUACCGCAUACGAUCUAAGGAUGAAAGCGGGGGAUCGCAAGACCUCGCGCGAUUGGAGCGGCCGAUAUCAGAUUAGCUAGUUGGUGGGGUAAAGGCCCACCAAGGCGACGAGCUGUAGCUGGUCUGAGAGGACGACCAGCCACACUGGAACUGAGACACGGUCCAGACUCCUACGGGAGGCAGCAGUGGGGAAUUUUGGACAAUGGGCGCAAGCCUGAUCCAGCAAUGCCGCGUGCAGGAUGAAGGCCUUCGGGUUGUAAACUGCUUUUGUACGGAACGAAACGGCCCUUUCUAAUACAGGGGGCUAAUGACGGUACCGUAAGAAUAAGCACCGGGUAACUACGUGCCAGCAGCCGCCGUAA